GAUCAUGGCUCGAGGAUGAACGCUAGCUACAGGGCUUAACACAUGCAAGUCGAGGGGAAACGACAUCGAAAGCUUGCUUUGAUGGGCGUCGACCGGCGCACGGGUGAGUAACGCGUAUCCAACCUGCCCACACUUGGGGAUAACCUUGCGAAAGUAAGACUAAUACCCAAUGAUAUCCCACGAAGGCAUCCGAAUGGGAUUAAAGAUUUAUCGGUGAUGGAUGGGGAUGCGUCCGAUUAGCUUGUUGGCGGGGUAACGGCCCACCAAGGCAACGAUCGGUAGGGGUUCUGAGAGGAAGGUCCCCCACAUUGGAACUGAGACACGGUCCAAACUCCUACGGGAGGCAGCAGUGAGGAAUAUUGGUCAAUGGGCGGAAGCCUGAACCAGCCAUGCCGCGUGAAGGACUAAGGCCCUAUGGGUCGUAAACUUCUUUAGACGCAGAGCAAUAAGGGUCUCGUGAGAUCCGAUGAGAGUAUGCGUAGAAUAAGCAUCGGCUAACUCCGUG
rnacentral:rRNA from 1 species